rnacentral:rRNA from 1 species
CAGUAAGGAAUAUUGGUCAAUGGGGGCAACCCUGAACCAGCCAUGCCGCGUGCAGGAAGACGGCCCUACGGGUUGUAAACUGCUUUUAUUCGGGAAUAAACCCUUUUACGUGUAAGAGGCUGAAUGUACCGAAGGAAUAAGGAUCGGCUAACUCCGUGCCAGCAGCCGCGGUAAUACGGAGGAUCCAAGCGUUAUCCGGAUUUAUUGGGUUUAAAGGGUGCGUAGGCGGCUUAUUAAGUCAGGGGUGAAAGACGGUGGCUCAACCAUCGCAGUGCCUUUGAUACUGAUGAGCUUGAAUACACUAGAGGUAGGCGGAAUGUGACAAGUAGCGGUGAAAUGCAUAGAUAUGUCACAGAACACCAAUUGCGAAGGCAGCUUACUAUGGUGUCAUUGACGCUGAGGCACGAAAGCGUGGGGAUCAAACAGGAUUAGA